AAAUAUUUGAACAUUAUUGCAACAGCAAACACAUAAGCUUACAAGAUUACGCUGACGAUAGGAAAGAAGCAAUUACGAAAUAUUCGUUCAAUGAUUGUUUAAAAUGGUUAAGAUAUCAGGAAGAUCGGACGGUCCAAGACUACAUGAGUGUCUUAUCUGAGUCACAUAUUACCUCGGAUCAAUUUUUGAAGUAUAUGGUUAUUUCCCACCCAGAAGAUAUUGCGGUCAUCAAUAAAUACUUCGAUGAUUGUCCAGAAGCAAUGGAAAACAAAGAAAAUAUAGGUUUGAAACUAUAUAGUGAACUUGUAAAGCACUAUUGCGAAAUACAUCACCCAGAGUAUACUCUAAAAAGAUGCAUCGAUAUGAGGAAAAGUGCACUGUAACAAAAUCUAAUAUAAAAGGAACGUGUCAGCCAAA